CCUACGGGAGGCAGCAGUGAGGAAUAUUGGUCAAUGGACGAGAGUCUGAACCAGCCAAGUCGCGUGAAGGAUGACUGCCCUAUGGGUUGUAAACUUCUUUUAUAAAGGAAUAAAACGCGGCACGUGUGCCUUUUUGCAUGUACUUUAUGAAUAAGGAUCGGCUAACUCCGUGCCAGCAGCCGCGGUAAUACGGAGGAUCCGAGCGUUAUCCGGAUUUAUUGGGUUUAAAGGGAGCGUAGAUGGGUUGUUAAGUCAGUUGUGAAAGGUUGCGGCUCAACCGUAAAAUUGCAAUUGAUACUGGCAGUCUUGAGUACAGGUGAGGUAGGCGGAAUGCGUGGUGUAGCGGUGAAAUGCUUAGAUAUCACGAAGAACCCCGAUUGCGAAGGCAGCUUACUAAACUGUGACUGACAUUGAUGCUCGAAAGGGUGGGUAUCAAACAGGAUUAGAUACCCGGGUAGUC
rnacentral:rRNA from 1 species